GGGGUGGAGUUUCCAGUGUGUCAGAGAAAGCAGCUCCAGCAGCAGAGAAAGGAGGGGGGUCAGAGCAAGCCGCCCUCCCGGAAGGGGAGGGGAGCAGUGAAGGGAGUAGUGUAACUGUCAAAAGGAAAGUUAGAGGUUUGGCGCGCGCGCCUAGUUCAAAUGUAGAGGCGCGCGGAAGUGCAGGGAGCCCGGAGGAGGGGCCAGGUCCCAAAGCCCGCAGGAGGGGGGAAGAGCAGUCUGAUUCCGCGUCAGAGGAAUCCAGGAGGGGGGAAACCCCAGUGGGUAGAAGGACCCUGCGGAAAAGGAAGGAGAGAAAGAGGUGGAGCAGCGCAAGUCUCUUAAAUUGGUGCAGAGGAGGGACUGACUCAGAGGGGACUUCGGCGGUCUAGCGUAAGAGACGUAAGGCUGCGCGCCUAGGAUGUCAAGCAAACCAUGAACUGCAAUAAACACCUUUGUAUACAAGAAGACGUAGGCGUUGGUCUUUUGUGAGCUAAGACUUGAGGCAGCCUUGACAGUAAGUCCCCUCUCAAAACAAAAAAACCGCAAAAUUUUUUUUGCACAGCUCACGAAGUUUGGCAGCAAUGACUACUGAG